rnacentral:rRNA from 1 species
UACGUAGGGACCAAGCGUUGUUCGGAUUUACUGGGCGUAAGGGGCGCGUAGGCGGCGUGGUAAGUCACUUGUGAAAUCUCUGAGCUUAACUCAGAACGGCCAAGUGAUACUGCUGUGCUAGAGUGCAGAAGGGGCAAUCGGAAUUCUUGGUGUAGCGGUGAAAUGCGUAGAUAUCAAGAGGAACACCUGAGGUGAAGACGGGUUGCUGGGCUGACACUGACGCUGAGGCGCGAAAGCCAGGGGAGCAAACGGG